UACGUAGGGCGCAAGCGUUGUCCGGAAUUAUUGGGCGUAAAGAGCUCGUAGGCGGCUUGUCACGUCGGAUGUGAAAGCCCGGGGCUUAACCCCGGGUCUGCAUUCGAUACGGGCAGGCUAGAGCUCGGUAGGGGAGAUCGGAAUUCCUGGUGUAGCGGUGAAAUGCGCAGAUAUCAGGAGGAACACCGGUGGCGAAGGCGGAUCUCUGGGCCGAUACUGACGCUGAGGAGCGAAAGCGUGGGGAGCGAACAGG
rnacentral:rRNA from 1 species